CACACACACACACACACACGUCUGCUCCAUCAUCUCAUUUAGAAAUAUGCACCUCGGCUCCCACGUCCAGCUCCUGAGUUAACAGAAGAGCUUGGAUGUCCAUUCCAUUGGUGGCCGUGCCUGGACGCCCUCCUCCUCCUCUCUGACGGUCUCUUGUCGUUUCUCCUCUCACUGCUCCCUCCAUCUUUAAAACCCUCCGUCGGCUUGCUGGACCAUCCCAGUCUCCGGCUUCCUGUCACAUCUCAUCUGUUUCAUUGUAAUCUCUCGUCAGCUCCGUCUCCUCCUCCUCCUUUUUGCAUUCGUUCCUCUUCUCAUCUGUUCUUCGGGUCUCUUCUCUGCCCGCCUCUUCGGCUUAAGACUGCCGUGCCGUCCACCGCCUUCCCCACCUCCCCAUUCCGCAUUCCUUUUUUCUCCCUCCCAUGUUCUCCUUCACUGACUCCCAGCACUCCCUUCCUCUCUUCUCCGCUCUGUCACCCCUCUAAAAAGACUCCCGCUGAUGGACCUGAACCUUCUGCCCAAGCCAAAUGUUGCCCCUCCAUUCUUUUCUCUUGCACUCCAUGUGAAGAGGAGCCCAAUUAAAGUCUGUCUCCUCUCCUUCUUCCCCUCCGUUGUCCUCCUCUCUGUGCGUCUGCACUCAGACUCUCUGGGGUCGCUAAUUAAAACGCUUCACUUUCUUUUCUCUCCACUCCACUUCUUUUUUUCACCUGUUCAUCUCAUUGUCCUCUCAUUUGUGCCUCCUUCAUUGUGUGUGUGUGUGUGUGUGUGUGUGUGUGUUGCGUCUCUCUGCCCUAACCGGUCCCAACAGCUCUCAUUUAUCUUCCUCUGGUCUUCAUGUCACUUCAUCACUCACAUUUCUUUCCUCCAUCCGUCACACAUUCUGCUCAUUUAUUGUCUCCUGCUUUGUCUUUUCUUCCAGUUAUGAUUCAUACAGAGUCUUAUGAUUUCUUCCUGUUGUAUUCACUUCUCUUACUUUGUCCUACAUCGAUUUCCUUCAAUCUUUCUCACAUCUUCACUUCCCCGUACGAGCAUGUACCCGGGGAACUCUUCAUUCGGAAGCUGACAGGAAGUCCAAACCCACAGUCUGGAGGAGCGUUAACAGCAGGAGAUCUGUCCAUCCAGGUGAAUCUGAACGACUACCUCGACAUUUACUGCCCGCACUACCCCGACCAGGGGGCCGAGGGGCCCGGGCAGCCGGAGACGCUGGGCCUCUACCUGGUGGCAGAGGCCUCGUUCCAGGGCUGUGUGGAGACCAGAGGGUCCAUCAAGAGGUGGGAGUGUAACGACCCCCACGCUGCGUUCGGACCAGCCCGCUUCACUGAGAAGAUCCAAAGAUUCACGCCCUUCUCCCUGGGGUUUGAGUUUCUGCCGGGGCGCCACUACUACUACAGCUCUCUACCCGCAGACGAAGGCCCUCCUCUGCCAUGUAUGAAGCUGCGUGUCACCGUGUGCUGUGAGCCCACAUCAGAGGGUUCAAAACAAAUACAAGAAACGGUACACGGAAGUAGGGGCUCCUCCCUGAGGACCGCUUCACCUCCUCUCCUCCUCCCCCUCGUCCUCUUACUGCUGGCUUCCUGACUUCCUCCUCCGUCCUCACCGCUGACCUCGCACCCUUUCUCCCCCGGACCGGGAGAGAUUCACUCGGCCAUCUCGUCCACCAUGCCGUCUCCACUCACUGGAUGGAUCCAUGCCGAGUUUCUCUUCCUUCGUGGCCGGUUUGCCUGUGAAAUCCCAGAAAGACUCCGUUUCUUCUCCAGAAUGUGACUCGGUGUCCGACGCGCUGAAUCACUGGGAUUCAUUUCCCGAAAUGUUCUCCUGCCGCCAGUUGUGUAAGCAGGAACACACGAUGUUCCACGUGCAGCUCGGCCUCCUCGUGAAGAACAAUGAGUUGUCUCUCUUUCUCAUCUGUUCCUCAUUUUCUGCUCGUUGUGUUGUAUUUACUUCUUUUUGAGGACCAGUGGUGUUAAUGUGGCCCCGUGAACACCAGCGGCUGGACUGGUUCAGGUGGCGCUGUCGGCUUUGUUUCUCUACAGUGGUGCAAACACAACUGACACAUGCUUACUGUAUUGGCUGCAUCUGAUUAAGAUAGAUGUUUUUCACUAAUUAGAUUUAGGAAAUAAAGGUGUUUUAGGAAUAUUCUGAAAUCAUCAAGCAGGGCUGCUGCGCCCCCUACUGGGAUUAAACUGGUUGAACUGGAGUUGGACUGGGUUGGCCAUGGACUGGACACAGGCUUGACACUAGUGCUGCAUUUAAUAAUGGGACCUGGGUCUGAGCUGGUCCUCUCUGAUUGGACCCCCCUGUUGUUCUGCCUCCCCAUCCCUCUCUGCUUCAGAAUAUAGCACAGAACAGAGGGGGUUCUGGGUAAAUGGAGAGGUUUGACUCGCCUCGCUCCACUGAACACACUGCGGACCAGUGAGGAGGCUGAUUGGUGAGCAACCAGUGUUUAUGGAACCGCACGUCUCUGUGAGAACACACACACACACAACUUUAUUUGCACGUGUAUGGUGAUAAGGAGACUUCAGGGACUUGAAAUGACCUUGUGGUGCAAGAGGCCGUUGUAAUGUGAGUAACUUAGUGGAAUAUUGAGCCGAGUUUUUAUCUCCGGGCAGCAAAAGUCUGAUAAGACUCCAGUAGAUUCCCGGUAUUAAUAAACCCUGAAGCAUCAUUGCAAUACAUCAACCUUAAAUAAUAACUUUUUUAUUUUCAGUGAGUGAAUACAGAGCAAGAAGUUGUGUUUUUGUUGUUUUACAUAUAGAAGUAUAUAAAUGUAUUUCCAUGUGAUGUCGAGCCUCUUGUGAAGCCAGAGAGGCAAUUCCCUGGAUAAUAGGGCUAACGCUUCUAUUUCAUGCUUUAUGAUCUCUUCUGAUGACAUGUUUGUCACUGUUGAGGCAUGUUAUGAGCUGGCUUUGAUUUUGACCUUCACAAAGACAUUUCCAAAGCCCAUGUUUUCAUUCUUCUUCCACUGUGAAUGAUGAAGUAAGCAGCCGGGCGAUGCCUUCAGACGGCCGUGAAAGGAAAAGGACUCGAGAAGCCACGGCGGUGAAGGAGACGAGUCCACUUCCACUUCAUGUGAGGACAACUGGUCGUCUGUGUGCUCCAGCAGCAGCGUGCACAAACCAACACCGUUAUGCAGGAGUGUGAUAUCCGGUUGUUUCAUGUUUUAUCGUCGACUCCUGACAGAAAGGCUCAAACGUUUUUUCAUAUUUUCUGAGUUUCUUUGAACUCGACAACGUUGAUGUCUGUAACGUGUCUGCUGUGCAUCGAUGUGCGAAAGCUGUAAACUCGCUCUCCAGUAUAAACUUCAUAAUUAUGGACAGAUGUGCCAUAUUAUAUACAUUUAGAAGAUCAUGAAAAUCCCACGUCAAAGCUUCUUCAGAGGCUCUCCGGGGCGACGAGGGACAUUAACAAUUUCUAGGAUGACAAAUUUAGUUUAAACUAUCUGUGUCUAAAAAAAACAACAAUCCCUGUUGAAUAUCCAUAUUACAACUCUCCUUUCCCCCAAUGACACUAUAAUUAUACUGAAUAAUUUCUUCUACACAGGAGGUUCUUUUGCCACAAAUGAGCCUGUAUUUAAUUGCUGAAUAUUUAAGGCUCGGAUUGCCGGUGUUGAUUUCAUCUUCAGAGAUACAAAACUCUAUUAAUAGAUGCAAACAAGGCCAAUAUAGUUACAUUGUAUAUUGAAUAUACUUGAAUUAAGAGAUGUUUUAAAGGUACACUCACGAGUCAACAUAUUUUACAUCUUACAAUAAAUUAUUAAUAAGUAAUUGAAUCCAUUUUAUAGCAAAAAAUGUACUUGCUGAAAUAAAUUAAAAGAUAUAUAUUUGCUGUUUUUGUGAAAUCAAGCUAUCUCGUAUGGUUUCACAUUAUUGCCAUGUGACAUGUUUUUCCUUUCGCUUCAGUGUGCAGGUUGAGAGAAGAGUAGAUCUCUUGGACACAUGCGUCUCGAACCUUUUCCUUGAACUUCGGAAGGAUGAUGUGUGCUUUCCAUUUCACUCUGCUUGCAUUCUUAAAUUACAUCAACCUGGCAAGGAAACUAGCCUCCCGGCUAUAAUCUGGCAUAUUUACAUGUACAUUGUACUGUCAAUCAAUAUGCACUGUCCCUUAUUCUCUAAAUAAAUAAAUAAAUAAAAAUUUU